rnacentral:rRNA from 1 species
AUACGGAGGGUGCAAGCGUUAUUCGGAAUCACUGGGCGUAAAGGACGCGUAGGCGGGUUGACAAGUCAGAUGUGAAAUCCUACAGCUUAACUGUAGAACUGCAUUUGAAACUGCUAACCUAGAGUAUGGGAGGGGGAGAUGGAAUUAGUGGUGUAGGGGUAAAAUCCGUAGAUAUCACUAGGAAUACCGAAAGCGAAGGCGAUCUCCUGGAAGUUAUUGACGCUGAGGCACGAAAGCGUGGGGAGCAAACGGAAUUAGAAACCCUAGUAGUCC